GGUCAGCUGACACAUCCCUGCCAAUCUCCGGCAGACCCUCCCUCCCAGACCCUCCUACUUCCUGGACAGCAUCCAUGUUGAAGGCAGCUUCAACAUGGAUGCUGUCCAGGAGGUGGGAGGGUCUGGGAGGGAGGGUCUGCCAGAGAUUGGCAGGGAUGUGUCAGCUG